rnacentral:rRNA from 1 species
UACGGAAGGCAGCAGUGGGGAAUAUUGCACAAUGGGCGCAAGCCUGAUGCAGCCAUGCCGCGUGUAUGAAGAAGGCCUUCGGGUUGUAAAGUACUUUCAGUCGUGAGGAAGGUGUUAAGGUUAAUAACCUUAGCAAUUGACGUUAGCGACAGAAGAAGCACCGGCUAACUCCGUGCCAGCAGCCGCGGUAAUACGGAGGGUGCGAGCGUUAAUCGGAAUUACUGGGCGUAAAGGGCACGCAGGCGGUUAAUUAAGUUGGAUGUGAAAUCCCCGGGCUUAACCUGGGAAUGGCAUUCAAGACUGGUUAGCUAGAGUCUUGUAGAGGGGGUUAGAAUUCCAUGUGUAGCGGUGAAAUGCGUAGAGAUGUGGAGGAAUACCGGUGGCGAAGGCGGCCCCUGGACAAAGGCUGACGCUCA